GACGAACGCUGGCGGCGUGCUUAACACAUGCAAGUCGAGCGGAAAGGCCCUGCUUUUGUGGGGUGCUCGAGUGGCGAACGGGUGAGUAACACGUGAGUAACCUGCCCUUGACUUUGGGAUAACUUCAGGAAACUGGGGCUAAUACCGGAUAGGAGCUCCUGCUGCAUGGUGGGGGUUGGAAAGUUUCGGCGGUUGGGGAUGGACUCGCGGCUUAUCAGCUUGUUGGUGGGGUAGUGGCCUACCAAGGCUUUGACGGGUAGCCGGCCUGAGAGGGUGACCGGCCACAUUGGGACUGGGAUACGGCCCAGACUCCUACGGGAGGCAGCAGUGGGGAAUAUUGCACAAUGGGCGGAAGCCUGAUGCAGCAACGCCGCGUGCGGGAUGACGGCCUUCGGGUUGUAAACCGCUUUCGCCUGUGACGAAGCGUGAGUGACGGUAAUGGGUAAAGAAGCACCGGCUAACUACGUG
rnacentral:rRNA from 1 species